rnacentral:rRNA from 1 species
CCCUUAGAUGUCCUGGGCCGCACGCGCGUUACACUGAUGCAUUCAACGAGCUUAUAACCUUGGCCGAGAGGCCUGGGCAAUCUUGUUAACGUGCAUCGUGAUUGGGAUAGAUGAUUGCAAUUUUUCAUCUUCAACGAGGAAUGCCUAGUAAACGCAAGUCAUCAGCUUGCAUUGAUUACGUCCCUGCCCUUUGUACACACCGCCCGUCGCUCCUACCGAUUGAAUGAUCCGAUGAAUAUCAUGGAUUGAGGAUUAUAGCAGGUUCGCCUGUCUUGAUCUUCGAGAAGUGAAGUAAAUCUUAUCAUUUAGAGGAAGGAGAAGUCGUAACA